CACACAAGGGUUAUAGAGUAUCUCACGGUAUUAACUAGUAUGCCGUCAGAUUGAAAAGAUUUAAUUAUCCAAAAAUAUUCAAGGCAUUUUUAUGUUAUUAUUUUUAUUUUAUUGCUCUAACACAAAUUACACCUCACCCACUACCCCCAGUAAGGGGAUGUGUUUGUGUUCACAUAGACCAGAUAUUUUCAUACAGUGUGACAAACAGUGUCUUAUUUAGUUAAUGUUAAGUUUUAAAACUAUUUUGGUUUAUUUCCAACAGUAAUAUAAACCCAUGUAAUUUUGGGUUUACUGCUUUAUCUUGUGUCGAUUCACUGGUGUGUAACUGUCACUCUAGCUGUAAGCAGAUAAGUCGAGCCUAAUAAGGAACCUGGUGAAAACGACAAUCAUUCUUGUAAUGUUUUGGGGUUUUUUGUUUUUGUUUUUUUAACAGACUUAAAACACACAAUAAUCAUAAUACACUGUUUGUGUAUUUAUUUUUUUUAUUUGUGUUGUUUAAAGUCAGCCAACUGUAGCAAAACUUUACAUUUUUUAAAAGCCUUAUUUUUGGCAGAUAAGACUUUUGCUUGUGUUGUGUGCUUAACUUUUUAUUUUUUUAAAACACUGAACUAGGACAAGUUACUAAAUUUCACCUAGACAUUUGUGCUUUAAUAAGUAAAACAACAAAAACAAGUAUAGUCUGUUUGUGUAAUUGCUGCAUGAGUGUAUGGGUGUGUGAUUCAACUCUCUCUCACUUUGCCUUUCCUUCCUCUUUUUGCCCCUCUUGCAUAUGUAAGCAUGCACAUUCAACAUACAUGCUUACUUAGAUCCUAAUUUCAGUCUUACUCAUCGAUCUGUAAGUACUGCUUGAGUGUAAUGAAAAAACUUCAAGCAGCCAUUUUAAAGGUUGUGGUAGUUGGGAUUUUUCUUUCAUUUUUUUAGUAUUAUUUUUUUUCAGGGUAGUUGGAGCCCAAGGUUUUCUUAACUAACCUCAUGCUGUUGGUCAACUAUAAAUCGGGUUCUCAGGUCGAACUUUUGAUAUUGCAUCACAGUUUACAGCAUUGUCUGCAUCCUGUUUAUGGCUGCUCUGUCUUUUGCGACAGGAGGAGCAAACUUGAGAGAGUUCAAGUAUAGGAGUAAAAAACUGGAGAGACCAGAAAUGUAUUUGGGUAGUACUUAGUGGUACUCAGUUGAAUUACUGUUUAUAUUGUAGUUCAGGUACAGCAGUUGUUUGGAUUAAAUAUUUCACCACACAUUGUGGACGUGCUUGUAUAUUUAGAUGACAGACACUGCUGUUUGGCAUGGGGGAGUCUUACAGUGUGGUCCGUACUUUCUCUGGAAGUGGUUAAAAAUGGCUUUAACUAUAAAAAAAACACUUAAAAAAAUAAAUGAAUGGAACGAUGAGUCAAAUUAAGCUUUGCAUAUUAGUUGAUUGUUGUUUGCACCAAAUUAGUUUGUUUGAAAAAAUAUUGCUGGAGCUUCUAGGGAAUCCCAGUCACUGCUUUACAUGUGUGAGUGGCCAUGCAAAUGUAACUGGCUUUUCUUGAAUUAACACAUACUGUCAUUACAGUGCUUUUUUUUUUGUUUUUGUUUGUUUGUUUUUCUAGAAAGGAACAAAGCAGUUCUUUAUUGGUCGCAUCCUUGGACUACUGUGAACAGUAAAACUAUUCAUCACCUUCUGAGUUGCUCUUAAACAGCUCUUAAAGAUGCCGAGUCUCCAUGGCCACUUUAGGAGAAGACUGGAAACUUCAAUCUGAUUCUGGUGAUCACCUGAAUGUCUUUAGGUGGUUUAAAUAAUAGGUAAUGGCUCUGUAUCCAUCCGUAAACAUGUGCUAAGGAUUAGAAGGCCAGAAGAUGAAGACAGCGCAAAUAACACAGAAGCAGAGACUGUUUUGAAUGGAAGGACCGCAGCAGCAGUUCUGGUGAUGUUGUAGCAGCACGGAAUGGUUUGUGGGUUAUACUGAGAUGCAGGCCAUACUGUGCUGCCGCACUAAAGCCUGAAUAUACUACAUAGCUAUUAUCUCACAGUCUCUCCACCAAACAUACUGUUGCAGUGAAAGCUUGAGGUAACAGGUAACGUACUGUCACUUUUGCAUAAAACAGUAGUCUUUACUGACUUGAAUUAAUUUCUCAUAGCCUUUCUUCUCCCUCCCCCCAGCUGUGAUGAGAAAGUUGUUUGGGCUUCCCCAUUCUCAUUUUCUGGUCGCCUUACUGUAGCAGCACGUAAAUAUUGGAGUUAACACUCUAGCUGAAGUCUCCAGUAUUGAUCGUACUGCUGAAGCAAAGCGGGCCACUCACAAUCACAGCAACUAACCACCACUGAGUGUACUCAGACCACUCAGGUGGUGGCAAACAGAGGCUGGCCUUUAGAAAUGUUUACAGGUACAGGUUGACUCACUGAUUCUUACUUAAUGUCUAUUCCAUAUUGUAUUGACAUGUAAAAUAUGUAUACUACAUUUUAUUACACUUCACUAUUAUGUGUAAACCUUUUGAGAAUAAAAACGUUUUAAUUCUGUUUUGUCUGCAGUGUGUUUUCAAGUUGUUAUGCUAAACUUUUGUCGGUGUGGUGUGUUUAGUAGUCUUUAGUUUAAGGGACAGGAAAAGCGUUUGUGUUCCUGAUAGCGGAAACUAUUAACGAGGCUUUAAGAAGCGCCGCCGUCCUUGGAGAAGAAAUGCUCACAAUGGCCUGCGUGGCCUUUCUGCAGCGCUGCUGGGAUAUUUGGGCCUAUUCAGCAAAGCGCAGUGACAGAUUUGCUUCGGAUUCAAAUCGUUACAAUCAUGCUUGGAUUGUCGCCCAAACACCAGGAGUGCUUCUGAAAAAUCAAGAUGAAUUCACUGUCUGUAGUGUGUUUAAAAAAUUAAAUAAAGAAAAAGAAAAUACGGUUUUUAA